rnacentral:pre_miRNA from 13 species
CAAGGCAUCAAAGUGAUUGUGAUGUGUUUCAACAAUCAUAUCACAGUCAGCUUUGAUGAGCUUGA